GAUGAACGCUGGCGGCGUGCUUAACACAUGCAAGUCGAACGAGAAAUGUAGACGGAAACCUUCGGGCGGAAGCCUUCAUUUCGAGUGGCGGACGGGUGAGUAACGCGUGGGUAACCUGCCUCAUACAGGGGGAUAACAGUUGGAAACGACUGUUAAUACCGCAUAAGACCACAGCAUCGCAUGAUGCGGGGGUAAAAACUCCGGUGGUAUGAGAUGGACCCGCGUUCGAUUAGCCAGUUGGCGGGGUAACGGCCCACCAAAGCGACGAUCGAUAGCCGCUCUGAGAGGAUGACCGGCCACAUUGGGACUGAGACACGGCCCAAACUCCUACGGGAGGCAGCAGUGGGGAAUAUUGCACAAUGGGGGAAACCCUGAUACAGCGACGCCGCGUGAGUGAAGAAGUACUUCGGUAUGUAAAGCUCUAUCAGCAGGGAAGAAAAUGACGGUACCUGAGUAAGAAGCCCCGGCUAACUACGUG
rnacentral:rRNA from 1 species